UACGUUCCCGGGCCUUGUACACACCGCCCGUCACACCACGAAAGUUGGUAACACCCGAAGCCGGUGGCCCAACCCUUAGGGGAGGGAGCCGUCGAAGGUGGGAUCAGCGAUUGGGGUG
rnacentral:rRNA from 1 species